GGCUGGUAGUGGGGGAUAACGUCCGGAAACGGACGCUAAUACGCGCAUACGUCCUACGGGAGAAAGCGGGGGACCUUCGGGCCUUGCGCUAUCAGAUGAGCCUGGGUCGGAUUAGGUAGUUGGUGGGGUAAUGGCUCACCAAGGCGGCGAUCCGUAACUGGUCUGAGAGGAUGAUCAGUCACACUGAAGUGGAGACACGGUCCACCCGCCUACGGGAGGCAGCAGUGGGGAAUAUUGGACAAUGGGCGAAAGCGU
rnacentral:rRNA from 1 species